rnacentral:rRNA from 1 species
GAUGAACGCUGGCGGCGUGCCUAACACAUGCAAGUCGAACGGGAGUCUCAUUUCGGUGAGACAAGAGUGGCGCACGGGUGAGUAACACGUAGCUAACCUACCCCCAAGAGUGGGAUAACGUUUCGAAAGGGAUGCUAAUACCACAUAAGCUCACGCUGAAUAGAGAGGUGUGAGAAAAGCGUAACGCUUGGGGAGGGGGCUGCGGCCCAUCAGGUAGUUGGUAGGGUAACGGCCUACCAAGCCAACGACGGGUAGGGGGCCUGAGAGGGUGGCCCCCCACACUGGGACUGAGACACGGCCCAGACUCCUACGGGAGGCAGCAGUGAGGAAUAUUGCUCAAUGGGCGCAAGCCUGAAGCAGCGACGCCGCGUGGGUGAUGAAGGCCUUCGGGUCGUAAAACCCUUUUCUGCGUGACGAGAGAGGACGGUAGCGCAGGAAUAAGUCUCGGCUAACUACGUG